CUGAUCAGCCAUGCCGCGUGAGUGAUGAAGGUCUUCAUGGAUUGGUUAAAGCUUCUUUCUCCGGGGAAAAAAAUGACUUUUUCCGGAGAAUGUUCCCCGGCUAACUUCAUGCCACCCCCCCCGGUUCUACGAAAGGGGCUACCGUUGUUCGGAAUUACUGGGCGUUAUCCGCAUUUACGGGGAUUUUUGGGUCCGGGGGGAAAUCCCUAAGUUCAACUCUGGAUCUGCCUUUUAUACUGGGAAUCUGGAGUGUGUACUAUGUAUCUGGAAUUUCGAGUGUGUAGGUGAAAUUCGUAAAGUUUCGGAGGAACGCCAAUGGCUAACGCGGAUUACUGGUUGCUUACGGACGCUGAUGUGCGAAAGCGUGGGGAGAAGACCGGAUUAGAUACCCUGGUACUCCACUCCAUACCCUGUGAAUGUUAGCCGUCGGGCAUUAUACUGUUCGGUGGCGCAUCUAACGCAUUAAACUUUCCGCCUGGGGAGUACGGUCGCCUGAUUAAAACUCCA
rnacentral:rRNA from 1 species